rnacentral:lncRNA from 1 species
GACAAGAGUUAACAUUUAACAUACUCAAAUUCAUUUAUUUUGCAAUUGACUUAUGGUAUUUCUCCAUUUUCGAAUAUACUAGAAGUCAAAAACAGAAAAAAAAAUGAGCCUCAUGUUUUUCAACCUUCAACCUUCAAGGAUCUAGAGGGGAGGAAAUGAAAACAUCUGCCUUCAUAAAGGUGCUGCUCUUUCCUUCCAGGAUUCCCCAGGGCAUCCUUGGAGUGCCCCCAGUUUGAAUUGGAGAUAAAAGGUAUGGUCUUGUUGAAAUUGCCCCCAAAUUGAGCUGCACCUUCCAAUUGAGGCAGAAAGAAUCGCCUUUUGAUACGUUCCACAAUUGGAAUGCAAAUUCUCUCCCAUCUCCUAGACACCUGGGCCUGCCCCCAUUUUUCUUGACUGUAAUCUGUUUAGCUUGUGCAUAAAAUGGCAAAAACAAAGAGUCUUUCUGUAAAAGAAAAAGAAGAGGAAAGAAAGUAGAUUCUGUGUCCUCUUCCUUAGUCCUUGCCAAAUCUUUGCUCCCAGGCCUCGGCAGGUGGCAGUGUACAUGAGUCAUGCAGUCUAUCUUUCUGUUUUGUUUGUUAUUAACCACUGAAAUGAUGGCACCAUUCCUGGAGUUAGGCCUUCAACCAAAGAGCUGGGCCAUCCGUGGCAAUGCCUCCCAGGCUUGGGAGCUGGGAAAAGGCCCCAGGAGCUAGGGCAUCCUGAUUGUUCUUUCAAAGAAAUCCCUCUUGUUCUUAGUCAACAUGCUGGAUACCAGCUAAAAAAUGCAAAAUGAUCUUCAGGCAGGGAUGGCACAGGACCCUUGCUGAGCUGUGAAGCCUGGCUGUGAGGAUUCCUGCAUGGAAACAUCAACAUGUUGCCAGAUUGGUAUACGACUCAACACCACACUGACAUGCUGCUCCCAAACAGUGCCUUUGAAUCAAGACCCAGUCAUCGUAUUCGAAGAAAAAGGAAAUAUCCCUGACCAUGUUGGGACUUAACACUGCUUCACAGAGUCCAUGGAGUUCCUGGUGACUAAUGCCAUCCACAAGAUCUGAAGGUGUUGUGUAACCUAGACCUGGCCCUUCUCUCAGUGCAUCCCCCUCUCCAGAGUGACCAACUCAGAGAGGUCAUGUGCUUAAGGAGAAGUUGACUGUCUGCAACCUGGAAGCAAGCCCUCACCAGAAGCUGACCAUGCUUGCACCCUGGUCUCAAACUUCCAGCCUCCAAAACUGUGAGAAUAAAUAUCUGUUGUUUGAAAGCCACCCAGAGUACCAUAGUACUCUGUUACAGCAGCUCAAACUGACUGAGACCCUCUUUAACAAUGACAAUAAAACUAAGAAUGGCUAAAAUGUACUGAGUGCUGACUAGAUUGGACACCGGCAGUGCCACACACACCACAUAAAUGAUGUCACCUGAUUGUCAAAACAGAUCUAGGGAGGAAAAUUCUAGAGACAUGAAAACUGCAGCUUGGUUCUCAGGAAGGAAGUGCAGAAGUCGUCAGGUCUUUCUGCCCUUAAAAUCAGAGCUCUCAACCCCCAUGGCAUUCUGCUGGCAAAGUUCUCUAAACUAAAGAGGCUUCAUGAGAGAUGCUUAGCAGGAGCCAGGAGAGCAGCCUAAUCCCACAGGGAGGACAUGCAAGCCUGCUGGAAGGCUGAGGGGUUCAGGGAAGGCUGCCUCGGCCCUCCUUCGGGCCACACGUUCCCGACCUGGAUUAUUUCCUAAAAUGGUUUCAUUUUACAAAUGAGCAUGAGGCUCCGCUGGAAGCAGCCAACAUUGGCAGAGAUUAAAUAAUUAGCAUUUCAAAGUGUUCGUUUUCAUUUUCCUCUUUGCCAGGGUGAGAACCACUACAGGACAAAAAUGAGCUCCUUUUUUCCAGUCUCAGCCCAGGAGGGAUCUUCACAGAGAAAGCAAGCCCAGCCCAUCCCCACAGCUGGCUCCCUGGUGCCCAUUCUGAAAGGCUGGACCCAUCCUGACCUGUCCCUGCCCCAAGGACUGCCUGGUGAGGGAUGGCUUACCAACACUGUGACUCAGUCCUUCCAACAUGCCCAACAGGUCAAUUCUGGGAUAUUCCUUACAGGAAUUAAUGAGAGCACAUUGCCGGUAAUGUUGGCAUUAGUAGAUUACAUUUAAAUUUAAAAAUUCCUUUUAUGGGGUUUAAGAAUAGAGACAAGACACCCAUGCAAUAAAGAAAGGAGGAGACUUUGCCUGGUCUAAUGGAGAAGCUGGAGCUGCAUUGUUGGGUACAGUGGCCAGUGGCUACACCUGGCUUUUGAGCCCUUGCACAGUGGCAAGGACACAUUGAGAUGUGCCCUAGGUGCAAGAUACACACAGGAUUUCAAAGACUGAGUAUGAAAAAAGAAGAAAAAAUGUCUCAUUAAUAUUUUUAUAUUGGUUGCAUGUGGAAGUGAUAACAUUUUGGAUAUAAAGUUGACCUUUGAACAGUAUGGGUUUGAACUGCACAGGUCUGCUUAUAAGUGAAAUUUCUUCUGCCUCUGCCACCCCUGAGACAGCAAGACCAACCCUCCACUUCCUCCUCCUCCUCCUCCUCCUCAACCUGCUCAACGUGAAGAUGAUGAAGAUCAAGACCUUCAUGAUGAUCUACUUCCACUUAAUGAAUAGUAAAUAUAUUUUCUCUUCCUUGUGAUUUUCUUAAUAACGUUUUCUUUCCUCUAGCUUAUUUUGUUGUAAGGAUACAGUGGUAUAUAAUAUUUAUAACAUACAAAAUAUGUGUUAACCAACUCUGCUAUCAGUAAGGCUUCUGAUCAACAGUAUGCUAACAUUUUUGGACAGUAGUUAAGUUUGGGCAGAGUCAAAAGUUAUAGGCAGAUUCUUGAUUGUGUGGGGUAUUGGCAUCCCUAAUCUCUGCACUGUUCAAGGGUAAACUGCAUUAGCUGAAAUAAAGCAUAUUCUUAAAAUGAA